rnacentral:pre_miRNA from 1 species
UUUUGCUAGACCUCCCUCCUAUCAGGAUCUGAAGCCAACCUAUUACUAUUAGCCAUACAGUUUUGCAAACUGAUUCUGAUUCUUCUAAGGAUCUGAUUCACGGAGAAUCCUUUGGAUUUCCUUUUUUGAUCAAUGAUAACCUCUGCAUUGUUGUCAUAGCGUAUUAUUAUACCAUCUUCGCAUUUGAACUCUUUACAUGUAUGUACAAUUACACCUCAAAUUACUUCGGAUCUUUCUAGAGGCAUUUGGGGCACUG